AUUGGAUGAAUUUUCAUUUUGCAGAAGAAACAGACAAUGGACUUGCCACAGCAAUCUGCCACUGCUAACUCAAACAGCGCUGAAGGAUAAGUACAACUCCCCAUCAGGCUGCAAAUGAAGAACAACAGUUAAAAUCUCUCCGCUUGAAAGCUUGCUGCACAUGCUCACUUCCCUUUCUGUCGUCUUUGCUCUUCUGUGACAAAUGUGCUCAUGAAGCUCUGAAAAUUGCACUGGAUUUGGCCUGGCAGAUGAGGUGGUAUCAAAGCAAGAUACAAGUAAG
rnacentral:lncRNA from 1 species